rnacentral:rRNA from 1 species
AUUGAACGCUGGCGGCAGGCCUAACACAUGCAAGUCGAGCGGAUGAAGGGAGCUUGCUCCUGGAUUCAGCGGCGGACGGGUGAGUAAUGCCUAGGAAUCUGCCUGGUAGUGGGGGAUAACGUCCGGAAACGGGCGCUAAUACCGCAUACGUCCUGAGGGAGAAAGUGGGGGUUCUUCGGACCUCACGCGAUCAGAUGAGCCUAGGUCGGAUUAGCUAGUUGGUGGGGUAAAGGCCUACCAAGGCGACGAUCCGUAACUGGUCUGAGAGGAUGAUCAGUCACACUGGAACUGAGACACGGUCCAGACUCCUACGGGAGGCAGCAGUGGGGAAUCUUGGACAAUGGGCGAAAGCCUGAUCCAGCCAUGCCGCGUGUGUGAAGAAGGUCUUCGGAUUGUAAAGCACUUUAAGUUGGGAGGAAGGACAGUAAGUUAAUACCUUGCUGUUUUGACGUUACCAACAGAAUAAGCACCGGCUAACUUCGUG